rnacentral:lncRNA from 1 species
GGGUGCUGUUUCCCUGAUUUCUUUGUCACCUGUUUGUCAUUUGUAUAUAGGAUGGCUAAUGACUUUUUAUUUAAUCAUGUAUCCAGCUACAUCACUGAAGGUGUUUAUUAGCUUUAGGAGCUCCCAGCUAGAAUUUUUGGGGUCACUUAAAUAUACAAUCACAUCAUCUAUAAAAAGCAAAAUUUCAACUUCUUCCUUUCCAAUUUGUAUCCCCUUGAUCUACUUUUGCUGUCUUAUUGCUCUAGCUAAAAUGUUGAGUAACAUAUUGAAUAGUUAUGGAGAGAGUAGACAGCCUUGUCUUGUUCCUGAUUCUUUUGAGUUUGUUUUGAGUUUCUCUCCUUUUAAAUUGAUGCUGGCUGUGGGCUUUGUUGUGUAUUUCUUUUACUAUGUUUAGUAGUUCUACUAUAAUAAGUUUCUUAUAUCUCUGAUUUCUCCAACACCUUUAUCACGAAGGGGUGCUUGAUUUUGUCUAAGGUUUUUAUCAGCAUCUAAUGAAAUGAUCAUGUGUUUUUUUCUGUUUUCUUUCAGUUUGUUUAUAUGGUGGAUUACAUUGACAGAUUUUCAUAUGUUGAACCAUCUCUGCAUCUCAGGGAUGAAGCCUACUUGAUCAUGUUCGGCUGCAGUGAACAUCUGGGUAUCCUGUAAUUGCUCUUUGUUCUGACCGUCCUUCCUGGAGAGAACCAGAUGCACCGGUGAGGACCAGUGAACACUGGUGACAGCGACCUAAGGAAAGAAUGGCUUCUUUUGGCUCACAGUUUGGGAACACUGUCUCUGUCAUGGUGGGGAAGACAUGGGAGCCAGAGCUGGUCCAAUGGUGUCUGAAUCUGGAAGCAGAGAAGGGUGAAAGUUGGUCCUUAUUUUGUUUUCUUGCUUCUUUCUAUUCACCCAGGACUCCAGCUCAUAACAACCACAGUGAAUGGAUCUCCUUAUUUCCAGUAAUCUAAACUAGGUAAUCCCUGGUGGGCAUGCCCAGAGCUUUGUCUCCUGCAUUGAUCUAGUUUCCAUCCAGUCCACAAUGAAGCUUACCAUCAGGAUAGUGUUCCAUACAUUUUAAAAUUCAGGUGCUAGCUCUCAGAUGAUUUGUUGGUCCAAGUCUUGUAUGUACUCACUAGGUACUCAAAACGGAACCAGCCAAUCUUGUCCUGCUUCAAUACAGCCUUUGUCUUGUUUACUGUUUAAAAGGGGACAAUGUUGGUAUGAAGCCCUGUAAUCCAUGUUUCUAUUUUUUUUCUGAAUCCUAGAUUAUUAUAUUAAGUUGUGUCUUACCUGUAUCCUCUCAUGUCUCAAAGGGACCUCAAGUUCAAAAAUUUAAAUUAGCCAAAAGUAAACCAAAAAAGUAAAUAAAUGUACUGUAUACUUUUGGAUGUAUUUCCAAAUAAAUAUGUUAUUUUUUAA